rnacentral:pre_miRNA from 1 species
AGUGGGAUGGCUGGGUCACAUGGUGGUUCCAUUCCUAGUUUUCGGAGGAAUCUCCAUCCUGCUUUCCAACGUGGUUGUACCCAUUUGCAUUCCCACCAGCAAC